rnacentral:rRNA from 1 species
GAUGAACGCUGGCGGCGUGCCUAAUACAUGCAAGUCGAGCGAACGGACGAGAAGCUUGCUUCUCUGAUGUUAGCGGCGGACGGGUGAGUAACACGUGGAUAACCUACCUAUAAGACUGGGAUAACUUCGGGAAACCGGAGCUAAUACCGGAUGAUAUUUUGAACCGCAUGGUUCAAAAGUGAAAGACGGUCUUGCUGUCACUUAUAGAUGGAUCCGCGCUGCAUUAGCUAGUUGGUAAGGUAACGGCUUACCAAGGCAACGAUGCAUAGCCGACCUGAGAGGGUGAUCGGCCACACGGGAACUGAGACACGGGCCAGACUCCUACGAGAGGCAGCAGUAGGGAAUCUUCCGCAAUGGGCGAAAGCCUGACGGAGCAACGCCGCGUGAGUGAUGAAGGUCUUCGGAUCGUAAAACUCUGUUAUUAGGGAAGAACAGAUGUGUAAGUAACUGUGCACAUCUUGACGGUACCUAAUCAGAAAGCCACGGCUAACUACGUG